GGAAAGAUGGCAGAGCGGUUGAAUGCACUGGUCUUGAAAACCAGCGAUGGGUAACCCCCAUCCGUGGGUUCGAAUCCCACUCUUUCCG
rnacentral:tRNA from 1 species